UCCAUCUCCCCCACAAGUACAGGCCUCAGGGAGGGGCCAAGUUCACCCCCCCCCCAAAAGCAGCCGUGGGAAGUAACUGGUGAUAAAGGAACGGGGGUCAUGCCGGACUCCCGUCCCUUGCUCUAAGUUGUACGGCCCUGGGAGUCUGUUUACAGCCUCUGGAGACAACCCCCAGACACUGGGAGCUCACUUGAGGCCUCUAAGCCACAUUUACUCUCCAGGCUCCUUCUGAAUGGGCAGAAUUCACCGGACCAUGGUGGGCACCUGACCAUUUGGGGUCAAGCUCUUUCUCCCAGGGAUUCCAAUGGAAAUCUGGGUCUGUCAGCAUUGGGACUUGGGCACUGGUACCCUCGGGACCUGACGUAAGGCAUUUUAGCAUCUGUAAGCACAGAAGUAGAGGAAGUCCACUUACUACCCUCAGGGAUGAAGCCAAUCCAGGGAGGAAAGUGGCAGCCAGUCUUGGCUCCUGGUUCUAAGAGUUUAAAUAACUAGAAUACAAACUAGGACUUAAAUAAAAACAUGAAAUCCAAAACUUCUAGUAAUUUUUUAACCCCAGAGUAGCUUAGAAGACUACUUCUUUAUCAACACAUACUGAAAUUUAUUUAUUUCCAAGAUCAAGGCAUUUUCAGUUCUCCAAAGCCCUUUGUCAAGCCAAUACGUGGAAGAAGAAAUGUUAAGUAUCAACAGAAUCACGCUCCUUGCCUUAAGUGAGGAGCCAGGAAAAUCUGAGAAUCCUGGGUGCAGGGUUUUACUUUCAAAUCCUCAAAUUCGGGACAUCUGAGGCUUAAUCUACAGACACUGAGGGGGAAGCUCCUUCAGGCUCAGAAGCGAGGGGCACCCAACCGGUGCUGGAGUCCAGGUAACACAGAUACUGGCAUCCCUACCUCUGCCCGUUUGUUGGCCCACAUCCCUCCACAGCCUUGGCCGGGGCGGGGGGGGGGGGGGAUAAAAUCACAAUUGUGCUGGCAAUUCCACGGUGUUCCUGGCCAGUGACUCUCCCCGUUCACCCGUCACUGCUGAUCUACCUGCCCCCACCCCCUCAAGCCAUGUACCAGGCUCAGUCCCAGGCAGGGCCAAGUCCAGGGCUGAUUGGGACAGACUGUCCACCUCUGUGUGUUCCAAACGUUUACACUUUGGUAAGUGAGCCAAUGGACACACCCACGUAUUGCAGUCCGAUCAGGUGAGAAUCGAAGAGCAUAUGGUCUACUGCAGGCCUGAAGAGAAAGGAAGCCGUGGGCUCCACACUGGGGGGGGGAGAGAAGGAACCACAACAGAUCUCUGGAAACUUGCUCAAGGAUGCUCAUCUAAACCGCGUGACCAUCCGUGAACCAGCCCCCAGCACAAGCACUCAGCCUUCCGAAAGGAUGCCGUUUGCCCUGAUGGCGCAGAAGCAAGGACAGGAAGAUCGCUGGCCCCUGAGCACGAUUCGAGGCAGCAGUUACCGUAUUCUGGCACCAGACACUACCUCCAUCUCACCAUGAAACCCCAGGACCUGCUGCUUAAGGCCAGUUUCAUAUUUAAGAAGGUCUUGAAACACUAGAGACUCCAUGUUGAUAUUCGAUUGGACAUACAAAGCACUUUGGCUGCCCUCCGAGGGUGACGGUGGUUCAUGUCCCCUCUUUCCAUGGGACACCUUUUUUUACUGCAAAGACAGCUACCAACUAUGGUUACUCAGACUCAGGUAUUUGCCAAGACUUUCUUGAAAAUGAACCUGCCACUUGAUGGAAAAUAACUGCGUUUUUAUUGCCAAUGAGAAAAUUCAAGCUUUCAAGUGAAAAACAGAAUUUUAGAAAACUUAUCUUCCAUGAGCUUGACAGCCCUAAUAAAGGUGUUUAUAAGAUUGAUGGUGA